rnacentral:rRNA from 1 species
CUCGGAAUGAGUACACUUUAAAUCCUUUAACGAGGAACAAUUGGAGGGCAAGUCUGGUGCCAGCAGCCGCGGUAAUUCCAGCUCCAAUAGCGUAUAUUAAAGUUGUUGCGGUUAAAAAGCUCGUAGUUGGAUCUCGGCGGCCAGGGGGCGGUUCACUGUUUGGUGUUACUGCCCCAUUUGGCCGUGUUUUUGACAGAGGUUCUGGGGUGCUCUUCGCUGAGUGUCCCAGAAUGCUGUCAGGUUUACUUUGAAAAAAUUAGAGUGCUCAAAGCAGGCUUUACACGCUUGAAUAUUCGUGCAUGGAAUAAUGGAAUAGGACGUCGGUUCUAUUUUGUUGGUUUUCGGAAUUUGACGUAAUGAUAAAUAGGGACAGCCGGGGGCAUUAGUAUUCAGACGACAGAGGUGAAAUUCUUGGACCGUCUGAAGACUAACUACUGCGAAAGCAUUUGCCAAGAGUGUUUUCAUUAAUCAAGAACGAAAGUUAGAGGUUCGAAGGCGAUCAGAUACCGCCCUAGUUCUAACCAUAAACGAUGCCAGCUAGCGAUCCGCAGAUGUUUUUAUUGUAGGCUCUGCGGGAAGCUUCCGGGAAACCAAAGCUUGUGGGUUCCGGGGGAAGUAUGGUUGCAAAGCUGAAACUUAAAGGAAUUGACGGAAGGGCACCACCAGGAGUGGAGCCUGCGGCUUAAUUUGACUCAACACGGGAAAUCUCACCAGGCCCGGACACUGGAAGGAUUGACAGAUUGAGAGCUCUUUCUCGAUUCGGUGGGUGGUGGUGCAUGGCCGUUCUUAGUUGGUGGAGUGAUUUGUCUGGUUAAUUCCGAUAACGAACGAGACUCUGUCCUGCUAAAUAGUCGCAGUGUCCUUUGUUGCACUGCGAAUUCUUCUUAGAGGGACUGGCGGCGUCUAGCCGCACGAGAUUGAGCAAUAACAGGUCUGUGAUGCCCUUAGAUGUUCUGGGCUGCACGCGCGCUACACUGAAGGGAUCAGCGUGUUCUCCCUUUCCGAGAGGAACGGGUAACCCGCUGAACCCCCUUCGUGGUAGGGAUCGGAGCUUGCAAUUGUUCUCCGUGAACCAGGAAUUCCCAGUAAGCGCAAGUCAUAAGCUUGCGUUGAUUACGUCCCUGCCCUUUGUACACACCGCCCGUCGCUACUACCGAUUGAACGUUUUAGUGAGGUAUUUGGACUGGACCUCUCGAGGCUCACG